GGCUCAGUAACACGUAGAUAAUUUGCCCUUUAGGUGGAGGAUACCCUCGGGAAACUGAGAAUAAUACUCCAUAGAUUUAAACUGCUGGAAUGCUUUUAAAUUGAAAGAUUUAUCGCCUAAGGAUAAGUCUGCGGACUAUCAGGUUGUAGUUAGGGUAAAUACCUGACUAGCCUACGACGGAUACGGGUAGUGAGAGCUUUAGCCCGGAGAUGAUAUCUGAGACACGAUAUCAGGCCCUACGGGGCGCAGCAGGCGCGAAAACUUCGCACUGUGCGAAAGCACGACGAGGGAAUCCCAAGUGCUGGCUCGUAAGAGUCAGCUGUUUUUCUGUCUAAAAAACAGGGAGAGUAAGAGCUGGGUAAGACGGGUGCCAGCCGCCGCGGUAAUACCUGCAGCUCAAGUGGUGGCCGCUAUUAUUGGGCCUAAAACGUCCGUAGCCGGUUUCAUAAAUGCCUGGGUAAAUCGUACGGCUUAACCGUAUGAAUUCCGGGUAGACUGUUUAACUUGAGACCGGGAGAGGCUAGAGGUACUCCUGGGGUAGUGGUGAAAUUCUGUAAUCCUAGGGGGACCACCAGUGGCGAAGGCGUCUAGCUAGAACGGGUCUGACGGUGAGGGACGAAGCCCUGGGGAGCAAACGGGAUUAGAUACCCCGGUAGUCCAGGGUGUAAACGCUGCUCGCUUGAUGUUAGUCGGGC
rnacentral:rRNA from 1 species